CCUGCUUUGAAAUUGAGGCAAUCGUUUUCAGCCGGAUGGUUGCCCCCUGUGCGAGUGGAAGAUGUGACUUUGAAGACAGUCAUUGUAAAAGGUGCAAAAGGCUUGUCUAAGAUACGCUGGCAGUCUACACCGCAUGGCCUGCGUUGCUGACAUUGAGUGAAGUAAGUAUGGUGGUACAUUAU